UUGACCAUUUCUACAAAUGGAGGUUAUAAUUGAAAUGCAAGGUCAUCUUUUUUAAUCUCCAAAUCAGCCCAAUGUUUCCUCAAGCCCAAUUCAUAACCCGGUCCACACAAUUAAAAUCCCCAAUUCCCUUUUCUUUCCUUUUUCAAAAAAAAAAAAAAAAAAGAAAAAAAAAAGACAGAAGCUACACAAAAAUGAAGGCUAAUGAGCCUUUUCUUGGAACAACGGUAACAAAGCCAUCUUUGGCUAACAAUCUUUGCUCCUUUAUGUCUCUAUAGUAGUUGUUCGCCUAUUUUUGGGCAAAGAAUUAAACGCCCUUUCAUUUGGUAGAAUCCCCAUUUUUUUUUAUUUUUUUUUUGAUUCAAGGGAGAGUUUUUUGGACAACCAAAAAAAAAAAGGUUUUAACACCCCAAGUUCCAGAAGUUUUAGUCUCUUUGCUCAAAACAAGAAAUUUCUCUGGUAAGCUGUGUUCUUCAAAUUAUUGGAACAAGUUUAAAAGUUUUUCGAGUUCUGAGUCGGUUCGUCGUUGUUGGUGAAAGGUCGAAGGUGAUCGUCAACUCUCAUCGCCCCCAUCGCCGCAUCGAAAAAAGAUACUACACAAAGGGCCGACGAGAAAAUUCAAUUUGAGGACAUGCCUUGUCCGGAAAGGUUAUCCCUCGGUUUAGGCAAUGACGAUACUUAUAAAUAAGAUCACAAGAUAGAAAUAGACGAGCAUAUGGAUGUGAACUAGUAUGGCUAACAAGCAAACUAGUAUUUGCAACCGCGACUUGACUUGGUUUCUAGCAAAAAUUCAGAAGCAUAAAUCUGAGCCUCCGUAAUCAAAGCUCUCAAAUUUUGAUACGAGUCCGAGGGAUGUUAAUUUUAUGU